GGAGCUAAUCCCUUAAAGCUACUCUCAGUUCGGAUUGUAGGCUGAAACUCGCCUACAUGAAGCUGGAGGUACUAGUAAUCGCAGAUCAGAAUGCUGCGGUGAAUGCGUUCCCGGGUCUUGUACACACCGCCCGUCACACCACGGGAGUUGGAGACGCCCGAAGCCGAUUAUCUAACCUUUUGGAAGAAGUCGUCGAAGGUGGAAUCAAUAACUGGGGUGAAGUCGUAACAAGGUAGCCGUAUCGGAAGGUGCGGCUGGAUCACCUCCUUUCUAAGGAGA
rnacentral:rRNA from 1 species